CACACACACACACACGCAUGCCUCUAAAAAUAGUCUAAACUUGUCCUCUCCCUUGCUGAGGCCAGAAGACAGAUGGCAUCUCAGCUAACAUGUAUGUUCAUCCAACUAAUGAGCAGCAGGAUAACGAAUCUUAACACAACAUGAAGCACUGAUUCUCCUCACAAACACAGAAAUGUACCUUGAUUUCUGGGGGCAGCGUGAGCCAUCGGACCGCCGGCAGUCCAUCGAGGAAAAGCGUCCCGAAACGUUCGGGGGGUGGGGCUGAGGCGACGUCCCUCAAGCGGGACGGCUGGAUGAGCUGCUGAAAGAACAGGCAGAAGAAAUGGUCCAACCUGGGAGCAUGGUCGGCCUUACAGAAGGCACUGUGGAGGACACAAUGAAGAAAAGAGUGUCAUGAUAACAGUAAUUUAAGUAAUACAACUAUAAAAGAGUGAUUACAUUGUGAGAAACAAAGAAAUAGAAGGGGAAAUUAUUUGAGAGCAAAGAAAAGGGGGUUAAGAGAGUAAGACAGUUUAGACUUUGUGUAAAAUCCAGCUGGUGAAACACACUGUUUUUAUUUCAGUAUAUUUUGCAUUAAGCAUAUAAUAAUGGCUGCCAGAGAGGGGAAGUCUCAACCAGCUCUCCCAGCAGGACCACAGGAAAGCUAGGGCCGACCAACCUGUCUAAGGAGCCGUACAUCACUUUUAGUGUCCUGACUACGUCUCCCACCACCGUCUGCAGAUACAGCAGUGGAACCCUGGAGGGAAACGGAAAAAUGUCAAACCCAGACUUGGACAAACUUCAAUUUCAGCUGCUUAUCAAAUAUUUGGAGUAACGGCCAGGAACCAUGAAGGAAAAACAUUUUAUAAGUUAUUGUUUUGUCUAUACGUGGGUGUUCCUCAAGAAUCAACCCUUUAGGCAUGAAUGAGACUGAUUCUCAACCGAGAUGAUGAUGGAUUGGGGUUGACCUGAAAAGGAGGCUAAUAUGACUCAUCUCAUGAACUGUUUUACUACCACAUGCUCCUGAAAGAGGUAUUCAUGCUGCCAACAAAGAACAAAAAGAGCACAUGUGCUUGCUAAAAUUGAGAAAAAAUGAUGGUCCCUUUUCAAUUGUUUUUACAGAUCGUGCUCUUAAAUAUGUUUCCUCAUCUCCAAAAAUUACUUCUUGAGCAAAAGUCAUGCUCAGAAAAUGUAUUACCACAUCAGUAUCAGCCCCGGAUUUUUUAAAAAAAAUAAGAAAAUGUGCUGUCAGAUCUUUUACACAGGUGCCACAUGGAAGCAACUCUUGCUGUGUAAUAUUUAUCGAAUUUUCAGCUGGCAAAGGCUGCAGUUCAAAUGAAAUGUGGUGGAGCUAUCUCGGUGUAUUUGUCCUCCCUCUACCUUUCAGCAGGAAGUCCGAUGACCAACAGGUUGUUGCUUUCCUUCCAGUAGCCCACAUGUACCAGAUGUUUCCCGAGCAGGAGAGAAGAACUAAAGGGAGAGAAGACAAAAAAAACGCCAAAAUCAAAGCACAUGUGACAUAUAGAUCAGAAAAAGAUGAGGGCGGGGUUAACAUAAACAGAAAUAGAAUACAUCCCCCAAUAGCCAAAAUUAUCUCCCAGCUCACUGUUGUUUUAAACUCAACUGUGAACUGCGUUGAUUUUUAAAACAUCCAGAAGUGAACUGGCAGAAAAGUUAAUUUGGGGGAGCUACAACAAAAAUAAUUUGGGAACUCCUUAUUAAAGCUGAUUUCAUCAUCCUCACAUUCAUGUUGAUUGCUUAUUAUCAUUUUUUAAUAAAGAGCCAUCUUUUCUUGUG